AUUGAACGCUGGCGGCAUGCCUUACACAUGCAAGUCGAACGGCAGCACGGGUGCUUGCACCUGGUGGCGAGUGGCGAACGGGUGAGUAAUACAUCGGAACAUGUCCUGUAGUGGGGGAUAGCCCGGCGAAAGCCGGAUUAAUACCGCAUACGAUCUACGGAUGAAAGCGGGGGCCCUUCGGGCCUCGCGCUAUAGGGUUGGCCGAUGGCUGAUUAGCUAGUUGGUGGGGUAAAGGCCUACCAAGGCGACGAUCAGUAGCUGGUCUGAGAGGACGACCAGCCACACUGGAACUGAGACACGGCCCAGACUCCUACGGGAGGCAGCAGUGGGGAAUUUUGGACAAAGGGCGAAAGCCUGAUCCAGCAAUGCCGCGUGUGUGAAGAAGGCCUUCGGGUUGUAAAGCACUUUUGUCCGGAAAGAAAUCCUUGGCCCUAAUACGGUCGGGGGAUGACGGUACCGGAAGAAUAAGCACCGGCUAACUACGUG
rnacentral:rRNA from 1 species